rnacentral:rRNA from 1 species
UUAAGUCGACCGCCUGGGGAGUACGGCCGCAAGGUUAAAACUCAAAUGAAUUGACGGGGGCCCGCACAAGCGGUGGAGCAUGUGGUUUAAUUCGAUGCAACGCGAAGAACCUUACCUGGUCUUGACAUCCACGGAAGUUUUCAGAGAUGAGAAUGUGCCUUCGGGAACCGUGAGACAGGUGCUGCAUGGCUGUCGUCAGCUCGUGUUGUGAAAUGUUGGGUUAAGUCCCGCAACGAGCGCAACCCUUAUCCUUUGUUGCCAGCGGUCCGGCCGGGAACUCAAAGGAGACUGCCAGUGAUAAACUGGAGGAAGGUGGGGAUGACGUCAAGUCAUCAUGGCCCUUACGACCAGGGCUACACACGUGCUACAAUGGCGCAUACAAAGAGAAGCGACCUCGCGAGAGCAAGCGGACCUCAUAAAGUGCGUCGUAGUCCGGAUUGGAGUCUGCAACUCGACUCCAUGAAGUCGGAAUCGCUAGUAAUCGUGGAUCAGAAUGCCACGGUGAAUACGUUCCCGGGCCUUGUACACACCGCCCGUCACACCAUGGGAGUGGGUUGCAAAAGAAGUAGGUAGCUUAACCUUCGGGAGGGCGCUUACCACUUUGUGAUUCAUGACUGGGGUGAAGUCGUAACAAGGUAACCGUAGGG